GUAGUUGGCAAGCGUUGUCCGGGAAUUAUUGGGGCGUAAAGCGCGCGCAGGCGGUUCUUUAAGUCUGAUGUGAAAGCCCACGGGCUCAACCGUGGAGGGUCAUUGGAAACUGGAGAACUUGAGUACAGAAGAGGAAAGCGGAAUUCCACGUGUGGCGGUGAAAUGCGUAGAGAUGUGGAGGAACACCAGUGGCGAAGGCGGCUUUCUGGUCUGUAACUGACGCUGAGGCGCGAAAGCGUGGGGAGCAAACAGGAUUAGAUACCCUGGUAGUCCACGCCGUAAACGAUGAGUGCUAAGUGUUAGGGGGUUUCCGCCCCUUAGUGCUGCAGCUAACGCAUUAAGCACUCCGCCUGUGGAGUACGGCCGCAAAGGCUG
rnacentral:rRNA from 1 species